CCUACGGGAGGCAGCAGUGAGGAAUAUUGGUCAAUGGGCGCGAGCCUGAACCAGCCAAGUAGCGUGAAGGAUGACUGCCCUACGGGUUGUAAACUUCUUUUAUAAAGGAAUAAAGUGAGGCACGUGUGCCUUUUUGUAUGUAUUUUAUGAAUAAGGAUCGGCUAACUCCGUGCCAGCAGCCGCGGUAAUACGGAGGAUCCGAGCGUUAUCCGGAUUUAUUGGGUUUAAAGGGUGCGUAGGCGGCCUGCUAAGUCUGGAGUGAAAGGUACCGGCUCAACGUGGGAACUGCCUUUGAAACUGGCAAACUGGAGUGUGUGAGAGGAUAGUGGAAUUCCAGGUGUAGGAGUGAAAUCCGUAGAUAUCUGGAGGAACAUCAGUGGCGAAGGCGACUAUCUGGAACAUAACUGACGCUGAGGAGCGAAAGCGUGGGUAGCAAACAGGAUUAGAUACCCGUGUAGUC
rnacentral:rRNA from 1 species